GUCUACUCUUAGAUGAACUAUACCUGAUCCUGUGUUCUAAAGUGAUCUGCUUUUACAGCUACAUUUCUGUGUUCUUUUUUGUUGGUCUAUGGUUCUGAAUUGAGGCAGGUUUUUAUUUGCUUUUGAACAUCCAUUUCAUAGUGGUACAUGUGGCUUAGAUUAAUAUUACCAUACCAUAAAGACUGCCGAAAAUGGGUGUGGUACGGAAACCCAGAAAUGGCAUGAGUUCAACAUCAAACAUGGAUUAGAAUUUUAGCGGGGGAUCAAGUCAAGUCUGGAAGUGUUACAGGAUAGAAGAGUUGCCCUGUAGUUGAAAAAACACUGAGAGUGCAUUACUGUUAAGGUAUGAGGUAAAGUAAUAGAGUAAUGCAAAUUGUCUAAUG